rnacentral:sRNA from 1 species
GAUGCCAGGGGACCAAACUCAAGAGCCGUUCCUGCUUGCAGGAGAAGGCUCUUGAACUUGGGAUCCGCCCAAACAUGAGGAAGUAGCGAUUUACGAAGUGAAUCAGCGGAUUCCGAAUGGUUGGAGAAUUGCGAGAGCGAAGCGGAGCAAUUCGUAUU